AAACUAAAUGCUUUUCCUUCGUCUUUAAAGCAACUAUGUUUAUUCUUCCUUUGAAUAAUGUGAAGGCCCUUGUUUGUGGAGGCUUCUAGACAGCUUCCUUUGGUUAAUCCGUCCCUGCUCCUGAGAGGAACUACUGUAGCAUCAAGUGAUGUUAUAGUAGGUGAGAUAAAAGUGGGUAAUUCACUUGAGAAACGUUUAAAUGAAUUACCUCAAAUAUAUAUUAUAGAGUAUACAAGAUAUUGCAACAUGGGGGCAAAAUGUUGCUGAAUCUUCAAAUGCGAUGAUGUUUUAUAAACCUUCGUACCUUACCGUAAUAAUUAAACAACCUUUUCAAUGAAAUCGAGCAGAGAAUAUAUUGCAUGAGACAUUCGUUAAUUAUCUUGUUUUUAUCUAGGUAUUUUUGAAUUAUAUCGCAUGUAAUAAAUCGUUUGACAAUGUCACAGAACACUGCAUGUGUUAUAACAUUGAGGGGUGUUACAGCACAAUGCACGGUUCAAACGAUAAGCUUUCCGCGAGUCUUAUAAUCUUCAAAGAGUUGUUCACUUAACAUACAUGUUCAGUCAUGUACAGUGUCGAGCGUACGGACAGUGAAAGAACGCGAACUCUGGCAGUGGUACAAGAGAUGAAGAUCAAGAAGAAGAUAGAGGAGUACGUUAUUAUUUUUUCCUGUCCUAAUCUUAACUUGUUUUUAGAUUUUUCGUUUAGAU